rnacentral:rRNA from 1 species
GAUGAACGCUGGCGGCGUGCCUAAUACAUGCAAGUCGAGCGAACGGACGAGAAGCUUGCUCCUCUGAUGUUAGCGGCGGACGGGUGAGUAACACGUGGAUAACCUACCUAUAAGACUGGGAUAACUUCGGGAAACCGGAGCUAAUACCGGAUAAUAUUUUGAACCGCAUGGUUCAAGAGUGAAAGACGGUCUUGCUGUCACUUAUAGAUGGAUCCGCGCUGCAUUAGCUAGUUGGUAAGGUAACGGCUUACCAAGGCAACGAUGCAUAGCCGACCUGAGAGGGUGAUCGGCCACACUGGAACUGAGACACGGUCCAGACUCCUACGGGAGGCAGCAGUAGGGAAUCUUCCGCAAUGGGCGAAAGCCUGACGGAGCAACGCCGCGUGAGUGAUGAAGGUCUUCGGAUCGUAAAACUCUGUUAUUAGGGAAGAACAUAUGUGUAAGUAACUGUGCACAUCUUGACGGUACCUAAUCAGAAAGCCACGGCUAACUACGUG